GUGCCAGCAGCCGCGGUAAUACGUAGGUGGCGAGCGUUAUCCGGAAUUACUGGGCGUAAAGCGCAAGCAGGCGGUCUGUUAAGUUUGACGUAAAAUCUCCUGGCUUAACUGGGAGGGGUCGUUGGAGACUGGCAGACUUGAGGCGAUGAGAGGGGCAUGGAAUUCCCGGUGUAGUGGUGGAAUGCGUAGAGAUCGGGAGGAACACCAGAGGCGAAAGCGGUGCCCUGGCAUUGGCCUGACGCUGAGAUGCGAAAGCGUGGGGAGCGAACGGGAUUAGAUACCCCUGUAGUCC
rnacentral:rRNA from 1 species